CCCCUAGAUGUUCUGGGCCGCACGCGCGCUACACUGAACAGUUCAACAAGUCUUAACCUUGGCCGAUAGGUCUGGGUAAUCUUUGAACGCUGUUCGUGAUUGGGAUAGACCUUUGCAAUUAUGGGUCUUCAACGAGGAAUUCCUAGUAAACGCAAGUCAUCAGCUUGCAUUGAUUACGUCCCUGCCCUUUGUACACACCGCCCGUCGCACCUACCGACUGAAUGGUCCGGUGAAAUCUCGGGACGGCGGCUUGGUCGCUUGCGUCCGACUGCUGAAACUUGAUUAAACCAUAUCAUUUAGAGGAAGGUGAANUCGUAACA
rnacentral:rRNA from 1 species